rnacentral:rRNA from 1 species
GACGAACGCUGGCGGCGUGCUUAACACAUGCAAGUCGAACGGAAAGGCCCUGCUUUUGUGGGGUGCUCGAGUGGCGAACGGGUGAGUAACACGUGAGUAACCUGCCCUUGACUGUGGGAGAACUUCAGGAAACUGGGGCUAAUACCGGAUAGGAGCUCCUGCUGCAUGUUGUGGGUUGGAAAGUUUCGGCGGUUGGGGAUGGACUCGCGGCUUAUCAGCUUGUUGGUGAGGUAGGUGCUGACCAGGGCUUUGACGGGUAGCCGGCCUGGGAGGGUGAACGGCGACAUUGGGACUGAGAGACGGAACAGAAUCCUACGGGAGGCAGUAGUGGAGAAUAUUGCACAAUGGGCGGAAGCCUGAUGCAGCAACGCCGCGUGCGGGAUGACGGCCUACGGGUUGUAAACCGCUUUCGCAUGUGACGAAGCGUGAGUGACGGUAAUGGGUAAAGAAGCACCGGCUAACUACGUG